rnacentral:lncRNA from 1 species
AGUAAUCUAUCUGCUCAGACUUUUAUUAGCAAGUGAAAGAAACCCAACUUGAAUAAGAUAAGUGAAAAGGAGACAAUGAAAUUUAAUAAAACAAUGAAAUCAUGCCAGGGUUCAUCUUCGUCCUUUGCCACAGAAGCCAGGGUAGCUGCGUGGGGGGCCAUGAUGCCUGUGGGCCUGAGGCUCAUCAGAACUGGAACACCAGCGCUGUAGGAAAUUCUCCCUCAUCCUGGCCCCACUGGCCCCUAUCGCUCCAGCGCCUGCCUUCCUCCCUGGCUGCUGAGAGCUUCCUAGACUUUUAUUGCCUAGCCACAGUCAAAAAGAGAGAGGGCUCCCCCUCCUUCACUGCCCAAGUCUACACGUUCAGGGAAUGGGGCACACUUUAGUAACAGUCAGGCUGAGCCCUGCAGUCACGCAGUCUUGAGUCAGGCCCAAGCCCAUAACCAAUCCUGGGAACAAAGCACACAGGAGUCGUAUGGAUGCAAUGCACGUGGAUGUAGCUUCCAGGAAACAGGCCGUGCUGCUCCCAGAACUGGUGGUGCUGGGCAGACAGCACACGUACGCCACGGGCAGACCUCCUGGAGACCCUCUCCCAGUGAUGGAGACCAAAGCUCCUGGCGUCCAGGACAGGCAGGGUUCAGAGAAUGUGGGAGUGGGCCCUGCAUACUUAAAACAAAUGCUAGCAAAAGAACACAAGGAUCCCCAGGUAUGCAAGUUGAAUAUUUGAAGUUUCGGCCUUUCACGGAUGGGCUUCUCUUCUCAGAGACAUCAGCCCCUGCUGCCGGCUGCCCCUCUUCCUCAAGCCUCGCUUCCCACCUCCGCUCUCUGGCCGCUCCCACCCCACGCACUCACAGUUAAUCCGUCAGCUGGGCUGCCUGAGCCCCUCUUGCCUCACUCAUUGUCCCACCUGCUCUAGCUGUGCUGGAGAGCCCGCCUUUCUGAUGAGACGGGCUCCUCUGGUUGGCGUGUUGUGCACAGAAGUCCCUCUCUGCCGGAGGAAGGGCAUCAAGGUUAACUCAUCCAGACCCGGUGAAGCAACUCCGCAGGCACCUCCUGCAGCAGGACACGGCUAGGUGAGGCCGGGAGGGGCUGGGGGAGGUUUCAGCCCAUUCACCUGCAGCCUCAUCUCACUCCCCGUUUCCCAGGGAGGACCUGCUGCACAGUAAAGCUGUUUCCCCGUCUGGUGGAAGGCGCCCGUCAACAAGUGGCCACAACGCGGCAUUUUGAACUGUAAGAUCUCUGGGUUGAACGUGUCCGGCAGUCAGUCAGUUGGCAGGGAGGCUGAGGAGCCUUGGAACAGCUCCAGGGCAGUGGUGGAAGGACGCACCAGAGGAGCGGUGGGGAUGUCUGUGGAAGUGCAGCGCUUGACCUCGCUGGAGUUGUCGGUGUUUUUGUUGUCUUGGGCAUGAAUGUUCAUGACAGCCACAUUCAUAGUAUCUCCAAAAGGGAGCAACCCACAUGUCUCCCAACAGGUGAAGGAAUAUGCACAGCUCUGUGUGUCCACACGGUGAACGGUGCUCAGUAGUGAGCAGAGACGAGCUCCUCACCUAUGCAGCGCAGGAAGGAAACUCACAAUCAUCGUGCUGAGUGACAGGAGCCAGGCCCAGAGGAGCUCUCGCUG